rnacentral:ncRNA from 1 species
UUUAUGGAGAGUUUGAUCCUGGCUCAGGACGAACGCUGGCGGCGUGCCUAAUACAUGCAAGUCGAGCGGAUGAUGAAG